rnacentral:rRNA from 1 species
UGCAUAGGAAUCUGCCUUAUAGACUGGGACAACUUGGGGAAACUCGAGCUAAUACCGGAUAAUCUCUAAGGAGGAAAGGAUGGGACUGGAAACGGCCAUUCGUUAUAAGAUGAGCCUAUGUCGGAUUAGCUAGUUGGUGGGGUAAAGGCCUACCAAGGCGAUGAUCUGUAGCUGGUCUGAGAGGAUGGACAGCCACACUGGGACUGAGACACGGCCCAG